GCCAGUGUGGCAUAGUGGUUUGAGCACUGGACUAUGACUCUGGAGAUCAGGGUCCAAUUCCCCGCUCAGCCA